CCGCCCUUAGCUCAACUGGAUAGAGCAACCGCCUUCUAAGCGGUAGGUUGAGGGUUCAAGUCCUUCAGGGCGGGCCA
rnacentral:tRNA from 2 species